rnacentral:rRNA from 1 species
UACGGGGGGGGCAAGCGUUGUUCGGAAUUACUGGGCGUAAAGGGCGCGUAGGCGGUUCGCUAAGUUGGAUGUGAAAACUCUGGGCUCAACCCAGAGCCUGCAUCCAAAACUGGCGGGCUAGAGUUCUGGAGGGGGUAGCGGAAUUCCUGGUGUAGCGGUGAAAUGCGUAGAUAUCAGGAGGGACACCGGUGGCGAAGGCGGCAUCCUGG